AUGCAUUACUAUUCUUUUUAUCAAUUAGCUACCUGUUGCCUGCAGUUUAAAUUUUCCUUGGUGUUGGUGACUUGGAACGCAUCCAGUGAGUUUCUCAAGAGUCAUGAGCUCAAGUAUCCUGUAGGUGACUUGCAACUCUGGUUUGGCCUAGCAUUUAGUAAACUAAUUUUUUUUGAGUUAUUCCACCUACAGUCUGAGUCUGAGUCUCUUAGCAAGCCAAGCGAGAUGGUGUCAAGUCAGGCGGGGAACAGUUACUUGCUUUCUGACUGCUACUGCUGCACUGGUGUUGUCUCUGGUCGCUUCUUUGAUCCGGCGACGUAA
rnacentral:rRNA from 1 species